UACGAAGGGGGCUAGCGUUGUUCGGAAUUACUGGGCGUAAAGCGCACGUAGGCGGGUCGUUAAGUCAGGGGUGAAAUCCCAGGGCUCAACCCUGGAACUGCCUUUGAUACUGUCGAUCUGGAGUAUGGAAGAGGUGAGUGGAAUUCCGAGUGUAGAGGUGAAAUUCGUAGAUAUUCGGAGGAACACCAGUGGCGAAGGCGGCUCACUGGUCCAUUACUGACGCUGAGGUGCGAAAGCGUGGGGAGCAAACAGGG
rnacentral:rRNA from 1 species